GUCUAAGUAUAAGCAAUUAUACAGCGAAACUGCGAAUGGCUCAUUAUAUAAGUUAUCGUUUAUUUGAUAGUACCUUACUACUUGGAUAACCGUGGUAAUUCUAGAGCUAAUACAUGCUGAAAAUCCCGACUUCGGAAGGGAUGUAUUUAUUAGAUUCAAAACCAAUGCCCUCUGGGCUCACUGGUGAUUCAUGAUAACUCCUCGAAUCGCACGGCCUUGCGCCGGCGAUGGUUCAUUCAAAUUUCUUCCCUAUCAACUUUCGAUGUUUGGGUAGUGGCCAAACAUGGUUGCAACGGGUAACGGAGGGUUAGGGCUCGACCCCGGAGAAGGAGCCUGAGAAACGGCUACUACAUCCAAGGAAGGCAGCAGGCGCGCAAAUUACCCAAUCCCGACACGGGGAGGUAGUGACAAUAAAUACUGAUACAGGGCUCUUUUGGGUCUUGUAAUUGGAAUGAGUACAAUUUAAAUCCCUUAACGAGGAACAAUUGGAGGGCAAGUCUGGUGCACCGCUGGUGCCAGAUAGAGCCGACCCUCCGGUAAACAAACGGCUAGUCGAGCGCCCGACGAGUGACGGGUGGGCGCCGGCGAGACAACCUGGAUCGGGGAAGGCUAAGGGCCCUGCGGGGCCUACGCUGAUCCCGAGCAGAGCCGCGCGGGCGGCCUGUGUAGAGCGCGCCAAGGUGUCGGUCCCGGGGAGACUUCGUCCCCCGGGGCUUAAGGUACGUGCCAAUCCCCCGCGAAAGUGGGGCCCUGCGGACGAGCACCCGUCGUGCAAAGUCGCAGGGAGGCGUGGCGGCCCGCGGGGGCCCAGCGUCGGUUCAGUGGCCAGCAGCCGCGGUAAUUCCAGCUCCAAUAGCGUAUAUUAAAGUUGUUGUGGUUAAAAAGCUCGUAGUUGAACCUUGGGCCUGGCUGGCCGGUCCGCCUCACCGCGUGUACUGGUCCGGCCGGGCCUUUCCCUCUGUGGAACCCCAUGCCCUUCACUGGGCGUGGCGGGGAAACAGGACUUUUACUUUGAAAAAAUUAGAGUGCUCCAGGCAGGCCUAUGCUCGAAUACAUUAGCAUGGAAUAAUGAAAUAGGACGCGCGGUUCUAUUUUGUUGGUUUCUAGGACCGCCGUAAUGAUUAAUAGGGACAGUCGGGGGCAUCAGUAUUCAAUAGUCAGAGGUGAAAUUCUUGGAUCUAUUGAAGACUAACUACUGCGAAAGCAUUUGUCAAGGAUGUUUUCAUUAAUCAGGAACGAAAGUUAGGGGAUCGAAGACGAUCAGAUACCGUCGUAGUCUUAACCAUAAACUAUGCCGACUAGGGAUCGGACGAUGUUAUUUUUUGACUCGUUCGGCACCUUACGAGAAAUCAAAGUGCUUGGGCUCC
rnacentral:rRNA from 1 species